GACGAACGCUGGCGGCGUGCUUAACACAUGCAAGUCGAACGGAAAGGCCUGCUUUCCCUUGUGGAUUGCGGGUACUCGAGUGGCGAACGGGUGAGUAACACGUGAGUGAUCUGCCCCCAACUUGGGUAUAAGCCUGGGAAACUGGGUCUAAUUCCCGAUAGGACUGCAGGGUGGUGCCUGUGGUGGAAAACGAUUUUCUAGUGGUUGGGGAUGAGCUCGCGGCCUAUCAGCUUGUUGGUGGGGUAAUGGCCUACCAAGGCGGCGACGGGUAGCCGGCCUGGGAGGGUGGACGGCAACAUUGGGACUGAGAUACGGCCCAGACUCCUACGGGAGGCAGCAGUGGGGAAUAUUGCACAAUGGGCGGAAGCCUGAUGCAGCGACGCCGCGGGGGGGAUGACGGCCUUCGGGUUGUAAACUCCUUUCGACCGCGAGGAAGCCACCUGGUUGGAAGGGUGGUGACGGUAGUGGUAGAAGAAGCACCGGCUAACUACGUG
rnacentral:rRNA from 1 species